GAGGAUCUCUGCCACAUUUUCUGGUCUCUAGGUUUAGACAGAGCUUCUCUGCAUUUCUGCCUGACUCUUUUGACCAAAUUUUUGGCUCUGGCUACUGUGCCUGAAGGAUAAACUGGCCCUGCCUGCAGCUCGGCUUUACUACCAGGUAAUGCAAAAUACAAGGCUGCCAAGCAUAUGUUUCAAAAAGAGAUGCCAGGUAUCAGUGGAGGAAGACUUCAUGGAAGACUUGAGAGGGAGAUGGCACUCUAUCAGAGCCUUGGAGGGGGGAGGAAACAGAGUUUUGGAGCUCUUAAAUGGCAUACCUGGCCAAGGCUAAAUGAUGAGGCCCAAAUAAUUAUGCCAGUCAUUCAAGGUCUCACAAAUGAAGAAGCAGCAGAGUUGAGAUUCUAUUUCAAGCCUGACUCCUGAGCCCAUGAUCUUAACCAGCCCAUGGACCAGAUCCUCUGUACUGCCUGUUUUUAUAAAUAAAGUUUUAU